CCUACGGGUGGCAGCAGUGAGGAAUAUUGGUCAAUGGACGGAAGUCUGAACCAGCCAUGCCGCGUGCAGGAUGACGGCUCUAUGAGUUGUAAACUGCUUUUGUACGAGGGUAAACCUGAAUACGUGUAUGAUGGUGAAAGUACGGUACGAAUACAGAUCGGCUAACUCCGUGCCAGCAGCCGCGGUAAUGCGGAGGAUCCGAGCGUUAUCCGGAUUUAUUGGGUUGAAAGGGUGCGGAGGGGGUGUUAUAAGUUAGAGGUGAAAUGUCCGAGCUCAACUCCGGACCUGCCUCUAAUACUGUUGGACUAGAGAUUAGUUGCGGUAGGCGGAAUGUAUGGUGUAGCGGUGAAAUGCUUAGAGAUCAGACAGAACACCGAUUGCGAAGGCAGCUUACCAAUCUAUAUCUGACGUUGAGGCACGAAAGCGUGGGGAGCAAACAGGAUUAGAUACCCCAGUAGUC
rnacentral:rRNA from 1 species